rnacentral:rRNA from 1 species
AAGACAUGCAAGUCGAACGGAAGUCGUUAUACUGAAUUUGAAAUGAACUGUGAACUUGUUCAGAGGGACUUGAAGAUGAUUUAUAACAAUGGCUUUAGUGGCGGACUGGUGAGUAACGCGUAGGUAACCUGCCUAUCAGAGGGGAAUAACAGUGAGAAAUCAUUGCUAAUACCGCAUAUGCUCACGGUACCACAUGGUACAGUGAGGAAAGGAGAAAUCCGCUGAUAGAUGGGCCUGCGUCUGAUUAGCUAGUUGGUUAGGUAACGGCUGACCAAGGCAACGAUCAGUAGCCGGACUGAGAGGUUAAACGGCCACAUUGGGACUGAGAUACGGCCCAGACUCCUACGGGAGGCAGCAGUCGGGAAUAUUGCGCAAUGGAGGAAACUCUGACGCAGUGACGCCGCGUAUAGGAAGAAGGUUUUCGGAUUGUAAACUAUUGUCGUUAGGGAAGAUAAAAGACAGUACCUAAGGAGGAAGCCCCGGCUAACUAUGUGCC